rnacentral:rRNA from 1 species
CCUACGGGGUGCAGCAGUGGGGAAUAUUGGACAAUGGGCGAAAGCCUGAUCCAGCCAUGCCGCGUGUGUGAAGAAGGCCUUCGGGUUGUAAAGCACUUUCAGUGGGGAAGAAAGCCUUGGGGCUAAUACCCUCGAGGAAGGACAUCACCCACAGAAGAAGCACCGGCUAACUCCGUGCCAGCAGCCGCGGUAAUACGGAGGGUGCGAGCGUUAAUCGGAAUUACUGGGCGUAAAGUGCGCGUAGGCGGUCUGAUAAGCCGGUUGUGAAAGCCCCGGGCUCAACCUGGGAACGGCAUCCGGAACUGUCAGGCUAGAGUGCAGGAGAGGAAGGUAGAAUUCCCGGUGUAGCGGUGAAAUGCGUAGAGAUCGGGAGGAAUACCAGUGGCGAAGGCGGCCUUCUGGACUGACACUGACGCUGAGGUGCGAAAGCGUGGGUAGCAAACAGGAUUAGAUACCCUUGUAGUC